GACGAACGCUGGCGGCGUGCUUAACACAUGCAAGUCGAACGGAAAGGCCCUGCUUUUGUGGGGUGCUCGAGUGGCGAACGGGUGAGUAACACAUGAGUAACCUGCCCUUGACUUUGGGAUAACUUCAGGAAACUGGGGCUAAUACCGGAUAGGAGCUCCUGCUGCAUGGUGGGGGUUGGAAAGUUUCGGCGGUUGGGGAUGGACUCGCGGCUUAUCAGCUUGUUGGUGGGGUAGUGGCUUACCAAGGCUUUGACGGGUAGCCGGCCUGAGAGGGUGACCGGCCACAUUGGGACUGAGAUACGGCCCAGACUCCUACGGGAGGCAGCAGUGGGGAAUAUUGCACAAUGGGCGGAAGCCUGAUGCAGCAACGCCGCGUGCGGGAUGACGGCCUUCGGGUUGUAAACCGCUUUCGCCUGUGACGAAGCGUGAGCGACGGUAAUGGGUAAAGAAGCACCGGCUAACUACGUG
rnacentral:rRNA from 1 species